GUGCUCACUUCAGCAGCACAUAUACUAAAAUUGGAAUGAUAUAGAGAAGAUUAGUAUGGCCCCUCUGCAAGGAAGACAUGUAAAUUCAUGAAGUAUUCCAUUAAAAA
ensembl:snRNA U6 U6 spliceosomal RNA